UCAGGAUGCACCUAGGUUUGACAGCUUUCUUUAACCAUCACUGAUUCUCGCUAGCUUUUUUUUUUAAUCCUGGAAUUUUUAGAAUUCCUGGAAUUCUGGGGAACAAUGAGAAGAUUGUCAGGAUCAGGAGAUUCUGCUCAUGGCUCUCUGUGGGCAAUUUACAAAGUGGAUGGCUCUGUGGCUGACCAGACCACACAUGAGUUCCUUGGGGACCAGCAUGGAAUGCACAUCUAAGGCUUACUGGUGAUUAGGCUGUUCUAAAGUAACACAUUGUUAAGUGCUGUGCCAAAAACAUAGUAUUCCAGAGGUCUAUGUUGGAGCCUAGAGUUACUCCAGAAAAAAAGCCUCUUUUUAUAUAAUGGACUCUAAACUGCUUUGGAGUGGAGAAGUGAACAUUCUUAAUAAAGAACCCACCCAGUUCGUGAACUCCUUGAGGGCAUCAACUCUGCUUGGCUCCAGAGCGUCAACCUUCUUUGAAGAUAUUAAGAAUGUGGUUAAUUAUCAGCCUGCUCCAUUUGUUUUUCAGCUGAAGCUUAGCCUCAGAUCUCAGUUUCCUUGCCUCUAGAUUAUUUUCUUGGAUUCGUGAGUGACACCUCAUUGGAGUCAGGAAAAGUCUUUACAUCGAAGUACCUUCUAUGUGCUGAAUGGGAAAAGUAAGAGGCACCUCUGCCCUGGUGUUCGGCCUCUGGACCUUCGGAGCAAUGGGGACAGAGGCUGCUGGCACUGCCACUGGAAGACAGAAUUCGAUCCAAGUCUCAAUGAUCCUUGAAGUCCUCUGCAUGUUCUUAGAGAGUCUGAGCGAGCAUCACUUCAGAUGUGGUGAGAAGCCGAAAUGGAAACUAUUACAUCAAAACAUUUCAUUUGAUGAGGGGACUGUUUGGAAAAAUCCUAAUUUUUUUAAGGAACAAAGAGAAGUUGAUGAAAGGAUUUGAGGUUAGAAUGACCAAAGUCUGCACUGCCUCCCUUCCCUCCCCCACCCUUCUUCCAAAAUGGAGAAAAGAAAUCAAGCCAGAGAAAUGUCUAACUAUUCUAAAUCUGGCAGGCCAAGCUUUCAGCUUGGAUAGCGUGCAGUAGUGAUACCUUUUAAUUACAAUUGUAUAACUAUGAAUAAGCAAGAAAUGAAAAGAUGAAAAUGUGGUUUGUAAUGAAAUUACCAUAAAAACCAUGGCAAACUUUAAAGUCAUCAUGAAAAUUCAUAAUACAAAAACAUGGAUGUGGAGGUUAACUUCCACCAAGACUAGAAAUUAAAAUUUUGUGGAUUCGUGGUCUUCCUUGUUAGCUUGGUAUUUCCUCCUAAGUACACAUAAGCACUAUUAGUCAUGCAGACCAAACAGACAUUUAGAGUCAGAGCCCUGGUUGGCAGCCCUCAUGUUCUCCAAGCCACUUGGGCAGGCUGACAUAGAAAUGACUUGGGUUCCAAAAACAAAUGGUG
rnacentral:lncRNA from 1 species